CCUACGGGAGGCAGCAGUGGGGAAUAUUGGACAAUGGGCGCAAGCCUGAUCCAGCCAUGCCGCGUGUGUGAAGAAGAGCCUUCGGGUUGUAAAGCACUUUUGUCCGGAAAGAAAAGCCUCCGGGUUAAUACC
rnacentral:rRNA from 1 species